rnacentral:rRNA from 1 species
CCUCGGGAGGCAGCAGUAGGGAAUCUUCCACAAUGGACGAAAGUCUGAUGGAGCAACGCCGCGUGAGUGAAGAAGGUUCUCGGAUCGUAAAACUCUGUUGUGAGGGAAGAACAAGUACCGGAGUAACUGCCGGUACCUUGACGGUACCUCAUUAGAAAGCCACGGCUAACUACGUGCCAGCAGCCGCGGUAAUACGUAGGUGGCAAGCGUUGUCCGGAAUCAUUGGGCGUAAAGCGCGCGCAGGCGGCCCCUUAAGUCUGAUGUGAAAGCCCACGGCUCAACCGUGGAGGGUCAUUGGAAACUGGGGGACUUGAGUGCAGAAGAGGAAAGCGGAAUUCCAAGUGUAGCGGUGAAAUGCGUAGAGAUUUGGAGGAACACCAGUGGCGAAGGCGGCUUUCUGGUCUGUAACUGACGCUGAGGCGCGAAAGCGUGGGGAGCAAACAGGAUUAGAUACCCUGGUAGUCCACGCCGUAAACGAUGAGUGCUAAGUGUUAGGGGGUUUCCGCCCCUUAGUGCUGCAGCUAACGCAUUAAGCACUCCGCCUGGGGAGUACGGUCGCAAGACUGAAACUCAAAGGAAUUGACGG